rnacentral:lncRNA from 1 species
GGGUUCCAGACAGGGAGGAGGAUUAGAUAUUUGUAGUGGAUAUAUUACCCACUAACUAAUUUUAUGUUCCCUCAUCUUCCUUCUUUCCUUUCCGGCUCUUUACAGUAAAUAUCAAGGCUAUGAAAAACAAAAAUGUAUAAAGAAAACAAGACAGCCAAGGAUGCUCUGAGCAAAGAAGAAAUGACUGAGAUGUCAGAAUUAUCCAACUCUUUUGAGGAACAGGAUCCUAGCAUUCAGGAAGCUGGUGAAUAUGGAGGCGUUCUUGCUGAUAGGACUGGAAAAUAAUAUGCGCUGGGUGCCCUAACCAGAAUCUCACUGGGCGCUAUGAAGGACUGCUGUUGGCACUGGCUCAGGCAGCUGCUGCUGUCAAGGCAAGAAGACAUUUUAAUUUUAAGAUUUAUUUACUAACGUUGGCUGUCACCUCUCUACCUUUUGCACCUCUUCCAAUUCUCUCACCUCUUCUGAACGUCUUGUGCAGUUUCCACAGCUCACUUGGACUUUUUGCUGGUCUACCCUUUACCCAGCUGCUGCCUCACUGACCUGCCGAUGUUCUCUUCACAUAUCGCUUUAUUAUAUCAGUAUUUAUUACAUCAGUAUUGAACAUCACUUGGAAGGUGUAAUGCUGUGUAAAGUUAUAGUCUUCACCAGCCAAUCUGUCAAGCUGUGGAAUAAACAUCGCUUGGCAAAAAAAAUGACCUUUAUAAUGAUAAAUCUUUUGUCCUGUUCAUCACAGUAAAAAUGAAGCAUUGUCCUGACUUUGUGUUAGGACAGUGCCUGUACUGAGAGCGAUGCUGUUCUGUGUAUGUUGUUUCUGUACAUAGACUCACUUUAAGAAUCAAAUAAGUACAAGUGGGAUGGCUGAAUAAGACAGAUUCAUGGAGUUUCAGAGCUGUAAUUAAAACACCAUUGACAAGAACUUUAUUACUAUUAAAAUCAUUUUAGAAAGCAUUUUUAUGUGCUAAAGAGCUAAUUUGUGUUUUUACAACUUGAUUAAUAUACUGUAAUGAAAUUCUAAAGCUGCAAAGCAGUCUUAGUCCUAUGACAAUUAAUAAAGUCUAAUAUUUUAAAUUUAAUGUGUUCA